rnacentral:rRNA from 1 species
GACGAGGGGUCCAAGCGUUGUUCGGAAUCAUUGGGCGUAAAGCGGGUGUAGGCGGCUCUAUAAGUCAGAAGUGAAAGCCCCGAGCUUAACUUGGGAAGUGCUUUUGAUACUGCAGAGCUUGAAUGUGGGAGAGGGUAGUGGAAUUCCAGGUGUAGUGGUGAAAUACGUAGAUAUCUGGAGGAACACCGGUGGCGAAGGCGGCUACCUGGCCCAACAUUGACGCUGAGACCCGAAAGCAUGGGGAUCAAACAGGA